GCGGUGGUCGGGCUCGAGCACGCGCGGCGUCGCCUGCAGCAGGAACUGGCCGCGGCGCUGGGUGACGCGCACGUCGGCGCGGGGGAGUUCAGUGGCAUGACCAGGGCUCACUGCAACCUUGAUCUGGGCUCAAGUGAUCCUCCUACCUCAGCUUCCUGAGUAGCUAGGACCACAGGUGUGCACCAACCACACCCGACUAAUUUUUGUAGAGAUGAGAUCCCACUAUGUUACCCAGGCUGGUCUUGAACUCCUGGGCUCAGGUGAUCAUCCUGCCUUGGCUUCCCAAAGUACUGGGAUUAUAGGCUUGAGCCACCGUGCCUGGCCUGUGAUCAGAAUUCUCAUUUUUUUAGUCACUAAAAAUGCUGGGGGGCACUCCAUUCUCCAUUAUGUGAUUAGUUCACAUUGCAUGCUUGUAUCAAAACAUCAUAUAUACCCCACAAAUAUAUACAAAAAACUUUAAAAUUUUAAGUAUUAAUUGCUCAGGAAAAAAUUAAAAUGCUGGGGUGCUGAAAUCUCAAGGGCCCCAUUACAAAACUCCUUAGGAACCUCGCCCUCUCUCUGCUGUAAGGACUGGUUCCAGAAUGAGAGAAUUUAAAAGACAUUCCCCCCCCAAAAUGUUCAUAAUGUCACC
rnacentral:lncRNA from 10 species